rnacentral:lncRNA from 1 species
ACAAUGGCUCACAAAACAAGCGAUAGCAGGAUGGCUUAGUACCUUCUGCUGAGGAGCCCAACUGAUAAUUUUUCCAUGGCUGUCUUCAAAUUCAUUUAGGUUCGAUUCUUGGGUACUGGUUCCUGGACGAACCACCCAAAGAAAAGGUUUGUUUGUUAGUUUAAGUCCAAGUGCCAAUUCUUGAAGUUGAGAUUGGUCAAAAAUGGUGAAACUGCCAAAUGCUACAUAUAUCACUGACUGGGAAGGCUGUUGAUCAAGCCAUUUUAGGCACGAGGAGUCCUCCGGCCAGAACUGUGCUCCUGAAUUCCCUGUAUCGUAGCCUGCUAAUAAUGGGCCAAUUGGGAGGAGCUUUGGAGCAAAAGAAAAUACCUCAGCCUCAAGUUCAUGAAUUGAGUUGCAUAGCUGCCAUUCUAUCAAUUGUGAAUCUUCCAUUACUCUUUCAAUGUAUUUGAAAAAACCCUUUUGUGAGUAGGCGUUGCCAAUUUUCCAUGCCAAGUUAUCAGUGUCAAAAAUAGGACCGCUUGGGGAUAUUUGAAUCAUUUGUUUCUUGAUUGAAUAUCCUGUAAAUGAAUCAAAAGAAAAAUGCAUGCAGAGUACGAGUAGUAACUUUACGUGGAAUAUCAACGACAUCAAGACUUUCUUGUGCUUAAAGAAUAAUAAUAACAAUAAAAGCAAGGGAAGGACUUACCGUCACUGUCGAUACAUCCAUCUCGAAUAAGAUUAGGAAUGCUGGCUAAUUGGCCAAAAAUGGCAGCUGAUGCAGGCCAGAACAUUGCAACUUGGAUCCCUAAUUUGUCAGCAACUUCUCUUGCCCACCCCAUACAUCCAUCAACUACAAUACAAGUGAUGGGAUGAUUCUUGUUGAUGUCUUCUAUGAGAUCCUGAAGCUUUUUGGGCAUGGUGAUCAACAUGGCCUCGCAUAACUUGCCAAUGUCAGUUCUAUCAUCCUCAGGAUCCAUCCCAUCUGGGAUUGAGACCAAAUUAACACAUGAGCCUGUAGGAUCGCUUCUGCCACCCAUUGCACUAAGCACUCUCCUGAGGUUAAAGUCUGUAUUGACAAAAGUGACUUUGGAUCCAAGGUUGGCUAUUCUCCGAGCAAAGUGCAUUAAGGGGUUAACAUGUCCUUGGGCUGGAAAUGGUAGCAGUAGAACAUGUGAAUUUCGCAUUUUCCUUUUUGCGGUUUGAGAAACAGAGCAGAGAAAAUGCGGAAUCUUAUCUUCCUCCGUUGGCAACGAGGCAAAGGAGUGGCUAAUAAUUUAUUGGCUGCAAGGGCAAAGGAUUAAACAGAAAUUGUAGAAUAUAACGGUAAUACCGACCAGGAUUUCCUGGUUGGUCUAUUAAUAAAUUAUUUGUAUUUUGACACGUAUGUUAAAAAAAUAAAAAAAUAUAUUAAUUUUUAUUAUAUUUUGUUUUUCUCUUUCUUAUUAAUAAAUCACUACUAUAUUAUAAGUCUAAAUGGCCCACUGUUAUUUAUAACUUGAAAUAAGUAAUGGUAAUUAAAUAGUUUUAUUUUAAAAAAAUUGGAAUGGAUUCGGAUCAAUUCAUAUUCAUUUACCACCGAAUUAAAUAUGUGAAUACGAUAAUCAAUAAUUUUAUUAUAAUCAUUAAUUAUGAUAGGAUUAUAAAUAUUAUGAUUAAUAUCUAACUAUGUUUUGUGUUUUACAUAUAAUAUAAUAAUUUUUCAUAAGAAUAAAAUUUUUAAUUAAUCAGAAGAGGAGAAGAAACCUUCAAUCAGGUCUCUUAAUAAGUAUUUUCACAAGUACAUAAAAUCGUUAAAAUAAUAAAAUGAUGGGUAGAGUUUUCGAAUAAUUGGUUUUUAAAUAUAAAAAAUAUAUGUAAUUCUAAUGUUAUUUAAGUUAUCAAAUUAAAUUUUGAAUUAAGGAGAGAACUCUAAUCUAAUUCUUGAAAAUGGCACAAUUUAAUGAUAAAGAUGGAUACAGGCUUUUUCUUCAACAAGGGAAAUAAAGCAGAUAAAUAUAUUAUAAUUAAUAUUUAUUAUUUAUAGUUAUUUCCCACGAGUUUUCAUAUUUUAAUAAUAUCAAAUAAUUUUUUUAAAUUUCCAUACUAUUAAAUCUAUCUUUCUCAACAUAGAUAACUAAUAAUCAUUCAUUAAAAUGGCUACUAUAUUAUAGGAGAGCUAAUAAAAUAUAAAUAUAAAAUACAAAUAAAAGCUAAAUUUACAUAAUUAGAGAGCUAAAUAAAAUUAAAAUAAGAAUAAAUUUGAGAGAAUAAAAAAAUUAAAAGGAAAAAUGUAUAUAAAAAAUGAAAAAUGCCCUUUGAGACAUCAUGCUGUAAAGGUGAGCGGUGGGUAAAUUUUCCAUUGAGGUAUGAGUUUGUUGCUUCAAUAACAUCAGUUUAUUUGAGGGAUAUAGAGAUGAAAAACAAAAAGAACAAGAGAAAACUUGAAAUGAACACCAAAGGAAAUGAGAAGUUAAAUGUGUUGGAAGGUUUUUUUCUUUUUCUUUUUUCUUCUAUAUUAUAUCAAUCUCAUUUACAAAGUUGAACAUAAAUAUACAGAGUAUAUGAGAGAUAUUAAAAAAAAACUAUUUUAGCUAUAAAUAAAAUAUAAGGCUAAGAAUGUGUUGUGUUCCAUGAAAGAAAGGAUUUUAAUAUGCUCCUAUAAUUUCUCUACUAAAAACUGAUUUGAUAGCUCACGUCAACACUUUUCCUCAAGUUGAUGCAUAUAUGUUUUCGAUACCCAGCUUGUCAAGUUGUAAAAAAUUUUACUCGUCUUUGUGAUGAUAUCUAGUUGGUCUUCAGAUUUAAUAAAAGAGAAACAAAUUAUUUUUUUCUUCAAGAUUCAUCUUGACGAAGUGUCAACCCACCUCUACAUAUUUGUUAUGAUCAUGUUAAAUAUGAUUUGCCCCACCUCUACAUGUUUGGUGUGAUUAUGUUGAACAGGAUUGUAAUUGUUGCCUUGUUGUCACAAAAGAGCCUUUUGUCAUUCCUUGGAACUCAACUUCAACACUAGAUAAUGCUACUAUCUUCUAUUUCUUGCUUCUUCAAGUAACCACAUUGCUUUCUACAAAUGUAAAAUAGCCUGAGUGGACUUUCUAUCAGAAGUAUUGUCUGUCCAAUCUGCAUCCGUGUGACCAUCAAUACUCAUAUGAUUAUUCUUUGUGAACAUAAUUCCUUUUCCAUGAGAGACUUUAGAUAGCAAAGAAUUUGAAUCACUGCAUCCAUAUGACUUUCACUUGGGCAAUGCAUGACUUGGCUUACAAAGGCAUUUCUUUCAUAUAUUGAUUUUUCUAAAAAAAAAUAAAAAAAAUCUUGGAUUGUCAUAAUUCUGUGGCGGUAAACAUUUUUGGUAAGUGGUCCUUUGAUUUGUUUACUCCAAAAGUCGGACAUUAUAGCUAAAAUAUGGAGGAUGCGUUCGCUGAUGAACCCUGAUAAGGCUCUCACCGAAGGCUUUGAAGCUAUAGCUUCAAUAGCAGAUGGUCUAAGCAUCACUCUGGUUGAACGAAAAUCUCUGAGAGGCAGGAGCCUAAACGUUGUAUUGGCUGCUUGCUUGUUCAUUGCCUGCAGAGAGUAAAUCUCCGAGGACGUUAAGGGAGAUAAGUAGGGCCACAGCUGGGGUUUCAGGGAAGGAAAAUAAAAUAGAAGAACAGGGGCUAUAAAGAAGCAUGUGGAGAUUGAUACUGGGACUUUGCAUGCUAGUGAACUUGUUAGACGGUUCUGUUCUAAUCAUGGCAUGAAAAAUCAAGCAAUGAAGUCUGUUAAGAAGCUCUUGAAAACUCCAAAGAUAUUGAUGAGGAACAAAAAUCCACCUUGGUCUUGGCAGCCAUUAUUCAUAUAAUCGCUCAGCUUUCAACCACUUGCAUUGCAUAUCACUGAUUUUAGAAAAGGACACAGAAAAUUUACCAAUCAUAAUCUUUCUUCAAUCAUUACAAAUGGAACUAUCCUUGAAUUGACAUUUCUUUUGUGUUCUUGAUGGAUUUAACUGAAGGUAGUAAGGAUUUGCAGACAUUGCAAUGGCUGUUGAACUUGAAGUUGCAGAAGAAAAAAUCAAGAAGGCAUAUAAAGAUAUGCAUGCUUCAAAGCUCAUAGACAGUUGGUACCCUAAGGAGGUGAACAUCCACAAGCUGAUCUGCCAUCCUUCAAUUUGAGGUGCCAAGCAAAGCAGUAUAAAAAGUUGCAUAGUUGAGGAUCAUUUGUAAUUUCAAAUCACUGUAAUUGAAUAGGGAUUUGGCUGGUUGAAGGAUUUGUUCAAUCAUAAGCUAGAUUUAAUGAUUCUUGUCUUUCGAUUAGACUCUUGCUAACAUCUCUGAAAAAAACAAAAGAAGAAAAAAACUCCCAGCUGCUUUUCUCAAUAAGUAAAAUCUUCAGCUCCAUAUUAUUUAGGUAUGAAAAUUCGAAACUAAAUUUAUCAUAUAAUUAUUGAGUUUAGCCACUGAACUAAGUCCUAAGCAAGAGUAUAUUAAUGAAUAUUUAUAUUUUUUUAUAUAUAUUUUUAUUGACCAUAAAUAAAGCAGCACUUAUGUUAUUUCUAUUUUUUUUACAGUUAUAUUGUACAAUAAUUAUUGUGAUAAUUGAUAAGGAGAAAGGAAAGUACUUGAGAAUGAUUAGUUAAUAUGUAAAAGAGAGAAAAAGAGAAAAAAAUGAGAUAGUUGAAGUCUAUGAAUGGUAUUUCUGAUACUCUAAUUAUAAAAAUAUAGUUUGAGUUUAAGAAUAAGUGUGUUAGAAUGUAUAUCUCAAACUCUAUGUAUGUUUUGUUUUUUAUAUUGUAAUAAGUUGACAAAUUUUUUAAAAAUUCUUGAUAAUGAUUGUAGAUAGGAGAUAUUGCAAUUAUAAAUGUAAUAAAAAUUUACUGAAUUUUAUUUUCUAACGGUAAGACUACAUCGGCUCGAAAGGAUAAAUUUUUUGUAGUUCUAAGUAUCAAUAGCUAUGAUAUCCGAAAUUCUUCUCUUUUAUAUGAAGCUUCUGUGAUCGAAUAUUAUAACCAGUGUGUCUUGUCACGUGAUCUAAUCAUCAUAUAUUUUAGAUGAAUAUUAUAUUACAUCAAAAAAUUUAUUUUAUUUAUAAUUUAAUAUAAAUUAUUUUUAAAUUUUAAUAUUCUAUAUAUUUUUUAUCAAAAUAAUUUAUAAUAGUUUUUAUGAAAUUUUUAUUUAUUAAAAUCUCUAACUAUAAUAGUCUCACUUCAAUACUUUAUUUAAUUUUUACAUAUUAAAUUUAUUUUUUCAAUAAAACUGCAUUUAUAUAACUUUUUGCAACCUAUUUUCUAUGAAACAUCAAUUGGUUAAUAUAUAGUUAAAAUAUGUCAUCACUCUAAAGGAUAAACAAAUGAGAAAUAUUAAUAAAAUAUAAAAAUAUCAUAUAUAAAUAAUACUAAAAUUUGUAAUACUCAAAUUUAAUUAAAUAAAUAUUAGUUACAAAUUUUAGGCUAAUAUUAUAAUAAUUAAUUAUAUGGGUUAUAAUAUGUAUUAACCUUAACAAGGUGAGCUUAAAUGAAUUUUAAACAAUUUUACAAAGCUAAAUAAAAUAAUUUAAAGUGAUACUUGGAGGGAAAAAAUCAUAUAUAAAAAUCUAUUAAUUAGUAUUUUUGUUAAAAUAAAUAGUUAAAUAUUUUUUAAAAAAUUUAAAAUAUUCCUAACAUAAAAAAUAAAAUAGUAAAUUUUUUAAAAUGUUAAAAAAGCAACUAAUGAUUUAUUUAAAACCAUAAAAACUAAUUAUUUAACUUGUAAAAUUAAUCGACUAUCUAAUUUUAGAUAGUAAAAUCAAUUUACAGACCCUCAUCUGAAAAUUUUAAAUAAAAAUAUUUAGAAUCUCAGUUAUUAAUUAGAUUUAAUAUAAAUUAAUUUUAUCAUACCUAAUAAAAUUAUUCCUUAAACUUAUAUUGUGUUUUUUUUUUUUUUAGGACAAGAAUAUGUACAGAUAUAAUUUCUAUUUUAAUACCUCUAAGAGCGAAAUGGGAUAGAAGCUAAGGGAUUAUUUGGUUUAAAUAAAGAUUGAUUUUUUUAAUAUAAAAAUAAUUUUAAAUUUUUAUGGAAUUUUAUACCAUGAAUUUAUGUAAAAAUAUAUUAAUACUAUUUAUUUGUUAAUAUGAUAGAUUUCUAUAAAAUGAUUCGUUUAUAAAAAAAUAAGUACCAUUUUUAAAAAAUACAAAAUAUAAUCUGUCCAUCUACUUGAACCAUUGGAUAAAUUUGAGUUUUGUAUUUUUAGAAGGAAAAAUAUAUUUUUUAUCUGAUAAAUUUAACAUAAAUGUAAUUUUAUUUAAUAUAUUAAUUAAGAAUCAUAUUGUAAAAUUUUAUAAUAUAAUUAUAAAUAUAAAAUAUUAUAUUAUAUUAUUAAAUAAUAAUUCUCGGCAGAUCAAAUAAGUAACUAGUUUAUUUAAACUUAACCCAAUUAAAAUUGGGAUAAUUCAAUUAAAAAUUUCAAAAUUUCUAAAAAAUGAUAAUUAUUUUUGUUUGGUUAACUUUUUUUCAUAAUUUUCUAAAAAAAAAAAAAUAUUUUUUUUCUUUUUUCAUAAACAACAUUUAAACUAAAUAAAAAUUUAAUUAAUUAUUAAACUUUGAGCUGCGUUUUACUGUGAGUUAUAUAUAUUAUUUUAUAUAAAAAUCUAAAAUAUUCUAUAUUUGUGUUGUAAAAAAUAUAAAAUAUAAAGAGAUUAAUUAAUAAAUAAUUUAUAAAUUUGAAUAAUUAAUUAAUAAAUUUUUUAAAUUAUAAAAAUUAAAUAGUAAUGAAAGAGGUUAAUUAUUAUACUUUAAAAUAUUAAAGAUGUUUUUUUAUAUUUUUAAUUAAUAUUUUUUUAUAAUAUAAAAAUUAAAUAAUAAUUUUAUAACAUGAAUUAUAAUAAGGGCAGACAGGAGCCUUACACAUUUAUUAUUGAUUUGAAAUUAAGUGCUCAACUCAUUAAAGAGCUUGUCUAGACAUUGGCAGUUGGCAGUGGGCACUGGGCAGAGCUCCUAUGCCGCGUGGAGAAGCGUUAGAGGAAAAGCAUUAAAGACACAAUAUACUCAGCAUCCCACGUGCCAAUAACUGUAAUUUACACAAGCAAUACUUUAAUUUAACAUACAAAUUUUAUUUUAUAACAUAAAAUUCUUUCAUUUUCUAUUUAAAUAAAAUAAAACAAAUUUCAUCUCUAAUAAAAAAGUUUUAAAUUAAUUUAUUGAUGAGACAUUGAUUAAAAUAACUUAUAUAUAUUUGUCUGUAUUACUUAAUUAAUAUUUUAAUUUUCUUAAUAAAUAAUUAUUUGAUUUUUUUUUUUCAAAUGAGACGCAAAAUGACAAUGACUAACAAGAAAAAGAAAGAAAACAAAUAAAGCCGAAGACACAAAUAACUCCUGAAAGUUGCAGAUGCCAAACCCACAUCAGAGGCAAAUCCCCCAUUUUUAUAUUUUAUUUAUAAACUAAUAAAUUGAAAAAAAAUAAACUAAUAAAUUUUGUACAUAACAUGAAUAUUAAUAUUAGUAUGAAUUUAAUGUAUUUUUUUUUAUUUAGAUGGUUUUAGAUUUUGGAGCUUUUACUAUGAAUUUCAAGCUCUUGUAUACUUAAGACUUGUAUUUGUAGGUCAUGUAUUAAUUUUUCCUUAUCAAUGUAAACAUUUAGUUUAUUUUUAAUUUAAUAAGUAUUAGUAAAAUUAAUAAAUUUGUACAGAAAAUACCGACUUACUAUUAUAUUAUUUAAAAUAAUUCCUUAUAAUUAUGGAUUUAACAUAUCAAAUAUAAAGUUAUUUUCAUUAUAAUUUUUAGGAAACAUAUACAAAUAUGAUUAUAAGAAUUCUUAUAUUUACGUAAAUUAUUUAUUUAAUAGAUAAAAACAUCACUUAAUGUUUAUUAAUAUUGAAAGUAAAAUUAAAAUAAGAUUCACUCAAACAUAGCAUAGCAACAAAUACUACAUAAUUCAAAUGCCAGUUCAAUAGUCAUAGUCCUUCCACAGAGACUCCUUGAAAAGAUGACAUCUCCCCCAACCUAGGCAUCCACCCACUUGAUGAAGUUGCUAAAAUUUGUGGAGGACUGACCACCUUCUCCGAUAUUAUUUUCAGCAAUUUGCUUCAGCUCCAAGGCCUUUUUUCUUAUAAUUUUAUCCCCAAGCAAUAGCUCCACCUUUUGUUUAAAUUCCUCCUUUGUUAUGAUUCCUUUUUCAUCCUUCUCUAACCCCAAACCAAUCUUCCAUACAUCACAAAUGUAGCUCUUGUUAGCAAACUGGUCAGCAAAGUAAGGCCAACACAAGAAAGGGAUUCCAUUGCUCACGCCUUCUAUGGUAGAGUUCCAGCCACAAUGGCUCACAAAACAAGCAAUAGCAGGAUGGCUUAGUACCUUCCUCUGAGGAGCCCAACUGAUAAUUUUUCCAUGUCUCCCUUCAAAUUCAUUUAGGUUCAAUUCUUGGGUACUGGUUCCUGGACGAACCACCCAAAGGAAAGGCUUGCUUGUCAGUUUAAGUCCAAGUGCCAAUUCUUGAAGUUGAGAUUGGUCAAAAAUGGUCAAACUGCCAAAUGCUACAUAUAUCACUGACUGGGAAGGCUUUUGAUCAAGCCAUUUUAG